UACAGAGGUCCCGAGCGUUGUUCGGAUUUAUUGGGCGUAAAGGGUGCGUAGGCGGCGGAGUAAGUUGGGUGUGAAAUCCCGGGGCUUAGCCUCGGAAUGGCAUUCAAUACUGCUUCGCUCGAGUACUGGAGAGGAGGCUGGAAUUUACGGUGUAGCAGUGAAAUGCGUAGAUAUCGUAAGGAAGGCCGGUGGCGAAAGCGAGCCUCUGGACAGUUACUGACGCUGAUGCACGAAGGCCAGGGGAGCAAACGGG
rnacentral:rRNA from 1 species